AAAAAGGAUGAUAUGCAAAAGUGUCAAACAGACCACUGCCCUAAAGUACUAAAAAAACUAGAAAAACACAAGCAGCUCAGUUGGCCUUAUAAUACCAUUUAGUCCGGGGAGACAAUAUCAGGUUGUAGGUCCCGAUGGUCAAUUUGUGGUGGAUAAGGAUUGGGCUACUUGUUCAUGUAGGAAGUGGGAACUCUCAGAGAUUCCUUGUAGCCAUGCCAUUUCGGUCAUCUAUUACAAAUUUACAAUAGAGACAAACCAUAAAAUUUCUUAAAUGACUACUACAAAGUUAGCACAUUCUUAGAUAAAUAUAGACACAUAUUGAACCCCACCUAAGACAGACAAUGUUGGCCAAAAAGUAAUCAAGGUCCAAUGAUGCCACAUGACCCAGUGCACAAGAAAAGAGGUAGGAAGACUAUGCUAAGAAGAAGGGAGCCAAGUGAGGAGACCAGUGGCUUCAAACAUGGUAGAGUCACCAAAAAAGGGAUUUCCAUGAAGUGUUGUGUUUGUGGUCCUAAAGGACACAAUAAAAGGCAUCAUAAGGGAAGCCAGGUUAUUGAUGGAAUCAUAGGUGAGCAAGAACAUCAACAACUAGUUCAAGCAACAGAUCCUAUGGAUACAGUUGAUCCCCAGGUUUUGUAGUCACAUUUUGAAAUGGUUGACAUUUUAGUUGGAGCUAAUCAGCAAGCAGGAAACAUUACACAGGGCCAGAAUGUUAGAGAACCACUGUCACAGGUGCAGCAAACUACAAAGGAGCCAAUAAACAAAAAUUCUACAAGAAUUACUGCUAGGAAUCCUUUCUUGAGAAGUCGAGGUAGACAAAAGGACAAUGAGGACAGAUCUAAAGAAGGAGAUCUCAGUAGAAGGAAGAGGAAUUGGGUUCUCCCAGGAACUUCCACUGUUGGAGGUGCUAAAUAUGGAAGGAAGUGAAAAAAUAGAUAGUCGACAAAUCUAAAACUUUUGUAUUUUGUGGUAUUUAGCUGGAGAUCUUCAUAAACCACUCUUUUGCA